rnacentral:rRNA from 1 species
UACGAAGGGGGCUAGCGUUGCUCGGAAUCACUGGGCGUAAAGGGCGCGUAGGCGGCGCGGGUAGUCAUUGGUGAAAGUUCAGGGCUCAACUCUGAAUCGGCCGGUGAUACUCCCGUGCUCGAGCACUGUAGAGGCAGGUGGAAUUCCGGGUGUAGCGGUGGAAUGCGUAGAGAUCCGGAAGAACACCGGUGGCGAAGGCGGCCUGCUGGGCAGUGAGCUGACGCUGAUGCGCGACAGCGUGGGGAGCAAACAGG